UACGACUCAGAAUGGCACAUUUGUAUUUGAUUCUCUGCAUCCUGACACUACAGUGGGUGUCCACUAUAUGUGUGCAGCUCAUACAGGUUCACCAGACACCAAAGGAGCUGAUUCUUUCCCCUGGAUCAUCUCUGAAGGUCUCCUGCUCUGUAAAUGGUACUGAUUAUCCAAAUCUGUACUGGUACCAGUGGACUCCAGCAGCAGGCUUCACACUGGUGUUUACCUCUCUGAGUGUGGGGUCAGUGGAUCCAUCUAGAAAAGGCCAGUUUGAGUCACAAAGACUUGAAAAGCUUCAGAUAGUUCUGGAGUCUGAUGGAGUGAGUGAGAAUGACUCUGCUGUGUGGUACUGUGCAGCCAGUCUACACUGUAUUCCAAAGUAAUCAGUGAGCUGUACAAAAACCACACCAGACUGUUAGAGCUUAGGCCUCUUCUUAAUCAGACAGUUAGGAGUCAGUUUUCAUUACUGUUUGAGAUCACAUGACUAAUUGAGACUACAUGUGAUCUAUGAGGUUGUUUUUACUGACAGGAAUCUGUCAAAGUAGGCUCAGUUCUCAGGUUGUCUGAUUCAACAGGAAGCAAGUAAGCACUAAAAAUGAAAUUCUCAUUUUGAGCAGAGAUGAUGGCAUUGGCCUUCUCACAGCUUGCAUUUGUUCCUACUUGUUUUUUCCAAGUUUACUGACAUUUGACUUUGUGCUAUUAUUCAUUACUUGACACUUAAGCAUUUUUUUUUCUGCCAAACAUCAGACGUAGUGACCUUCACAACUGUUUGACAUUUCAGUCUUUAAAAAACUGAAGAAAUACUGA